rnacentral:rRNA from 1 species
AGACCCGAAACCCGGUGAUCUAGCCAUGGGCAGGUUGAAGGUUGGGUAACACUAACUGGAGGACCGAACCGACUAAUGUUGAAAAAUUAGCGGAUGACCUGUGGCUGGGGGUGAAAGGCCAAUCAAACCGGGAGAUAGCUGGUUCUCCCCGAAAGCUAUUUAGGUAGCGCCUCGUGAACUCAUCUCCGGGGGUAGAGCACUGUUUCGGCUAGGGGGCCAUCCCGGCUUACCAACCCGAUGCAAACUGCGAAUACCGGAGAAUGUUAUCACGGGAGACACACGGCGGGUGCUAACGUCCGUCGUGAAGAGGGAAACAACCCAGACCGCCAGCUAAGGUCCCAAAGUCAUGGUUAAGUGGGAAACGAUGUGGGAAGGCCCAGACAGCCAGGAUGUUGGCUUAGAAGCAGCCAUCAUUUAAAGAAAGCGUAAUAGCUCACUGGUCGAGUCGGCCUGCGCGGAAGAUGUAACGGGGCUAAACCAUGCACCGAAGCUGCGGCAGCGAACGUAUCACUUAAAGCGAUUCAGCGGGUUACGAUUGACGGAGCGAAGCGACGUCAAAGCGUAUACAAAGUCGAGUCGGUUUAAGGAUACGUUCGUUGGGUAGGGGAGCGUUCUGUAAGCCUGUGAAGGUGGCCUGUGAGGGUUGCUGGAGGUAUCAGAAGUGCGAAUGCUGACAUAAGUAACGAUAAAGCGGGUGAAAAGCCCGCUCGCCGGAAGACCAAGGGUUCCUGUCCAACGUUAAUCGGGGCAGGGUGAGUCGACCCCUAAGGCGAGGCCGAAAGGCGUAGUCGAUGGGAAACGGGUUAAUAUUCCC